GACGAACGCUGGCGGCGUGCUUAACACAUGCAAGUCGUACGGUAAGGCCCUUUCGGGGGUACACGAGUGGCGAACGGGUGAGUAACACGUGAGUAACCUGCCCACAACUUUGGGAUAACGCUAGGAAACUGGUGCUAAUACUGGAUAUGUGCUCCUGCUGCAUGGUGGGGGUUGGAAAGCUCCGGCGGUAGUGGAUGGACUCGCGGCCUAUCAGCUUGUUGGUGGGGUAGUGGCCUACCAAGGCGGCGACGGGUAGCCGGCCUGAGAGGGUGACCGGCCACAUUGGGACUGAGAUACGGCCCAGACGCCUACGGGAGGCAGCAGUGGGGAAUAUUGCACAAUGGGCGCAAGCCUGAUGCAGCAACGCCGCGUGCGGGAUGACGGCCUUCGGGUUGUAAACCGCUUUCAGCAGGGACGAAGCUUUUUGUGACGGUACCUGCAGAAGAAGCACCGGCUAACUACGUG
rnacentral:rRNA from 1 species